UGGGGAAUAUUGGACAAUGGGCGGAAGCCUGAUCCAGCAACGCCGCGUGAGGGAUGACGGCCUUCGGGUUGUAAACCUCUUUCAGUACCGACGAAGCGCCGAUGAUGGUGGUGACGGUAGGUACAGAAGAAGCACCGGCCAACUACGUGCCAGCAGCCGCGGUAAUACGUAGGGUGCGAGCGUUGUCCGGAAUUAUUGGGCGUAAAGGGCUCGUAGGCGGUUUGUCGCGUCGGGAGUGAAAACCCAGGGCUUAACUCUGGGCUUGCUUUCGAUACGGGCAGACUAGAGGUAUGCAGGGGAGAACGGAAUUCCUGGUGUAGCGGUGAAAUGCGCAGAUAUCAGGAGGAACACCGGUGGCGAAGGCGGUUCUCUGGGCAUUACCUGACGCUGAGGAGCGAAAGUGUGGGGAGCGAACA
rnacentral:rRNA from 1 species